rnacentral:rRNA from 1 species
AGAGUUUGAUCCUGGCUCAGGAUAAACGCUGGCGGCGUGCCUAACACAUGCAAGUCGCACGUCCUCUCUUCGCAAGGAGAGAGGGAGUGGCGGACGGGUGAGUAACACAUGGGAACCUACCUCCAGGUGAGGGAUACCCCCGGGAAACCGGGGACAAACCCGCAUAGGCUCUUGGGAGAGAGCAAAGCCUUUCUUUGAGA